rnacentral:rRNA from 1 species
UACGGAGGGUGCAAGCGUUAUCCGGAUUCAUUGGGCGUAAAGGGUGUGUAGGCGGCGCGCUAAGUCGGGUGUGAAAUUUCGGAGCUUAACUCCGAAACUGCAUUUGAUACUGGCGUGCUUGAGGACUGGAGAGGAGACUGGAAUUCAUGGUGUAGCAGUGAAAUGCGUAGAGAUCAUGAGGAAGACCAGUGGCGAAGGCGGGUCUCUGGACAGUUCCUGACACUGAGACACGAAGGCCAGGGGAGCAAACGGG